CGGGUGGGUAAUAACGUGAGUAACGUACCUUUGACUCUGGGAUAAGCCUGGAAAAGUGGGUGUGAUACCGGAUACGACCAAUUUCCGCAUGGGGUGUUGUGGAAAGCGUUAUGGAGUGGUUUAGAUGGGCUCACGGCCUAUCAGCUUGUUGGUGAGGUAAUGCCUUACCAAGGCGACGACGGGUAGCCGGCCUGAGAGGGUGACCGGCCACACUGGGACUGAGACACGGCCCAGACUCNUACGGGAGGCAGCAGUGGGGAAUAUUGCACAAUGGGCGCAAGCCUGAUGCAGCGACGCCGCGUGAGGGAUGACGGCCUUCGGGUUGUAAACCUCUGUUAGCAUCGAAGAAGCGAAAGUGACGGUAGGUGCAGAGAAAGCGCCGGCUAACUACGUGCCAGCAGCCGCGGUAAUACGUAGGGCGCGAGCGUUGUCCGGAAUUAUUGGGCGUAAAGAGCUUGUAGGCGGUUGGUCGCGUCUGCUGUGAAAGGCUGGGGCUUAACCCUGGUUUUGCAGUGGGUACGGGCUAACUAGAGUGCAGUAGGGGAGACUGGAAUUCCUGGUGUAGCGGUGGAAUGCGCAGAUAUCAGGAGGAACACCGAUGGCGAAGGCAGGUCUCUGGGCUGUAACUGACGCUGAGAAGCGAAAGCAUGGGGAGCGAACAGGAUUA
rnacentral:rRNA from 1 species